rnacentral:lncRNA from 10 species
CACCAGACACUGAGUCAGUAGGCUAUGGCAGCAGGGUUGUGGAUGGCCCUUCUGGGAGAAAAUACCAUGAGAUGGCUGAAGAUUAACAAGCAGCUAUGGUGCUGUAAGGACUGUAUCGGAAGGGGUAUAUAUGUCAAUGAGGAAGCAGUGUGAAGUUAUUCAUUAUUGGUCUUCAGCCAUGCUGGAAUUGGCUGUUCCGUCUUCAUAUCCACUGAUCUCCAAACAUCAGCACCAAACUUCCUUGGCCUUUGCUGAAACACACUGCCCAGCUUAGUGCUAAAACAGUCAUUUUCCUUUCUAAGGUCACCUGCAAAAUUAAAUUGGGUUAUUUUCUGAUUUCACACUAGGCAAUCUAUGUGCAGCACCUUCUUUUAAAGAAUCCUUUGUCUCAUUUUGAAAGAACUUUCACAACUUUCUUGGAGCAUGCAGAGAGGAUCUGACCCAUUUUUCUAGAAAAUGUACAGAGCCAUUUUAAAUCUACUGGCCCAGCAAUGUACAGAAAAUGACACUUCUCCCCAAGGCUUAGUCUCACUUCAGGACUAUAAUAUUGAAAUCAAAGCAGACGUUCCCUCCAUCUUUUGAUUUUCUGGGAUUCUCUUCUUCUCAUUCUAGGCUUCUUUUCCUCAGGAGGACAAGGUGCCAAACUUCUUUAGCAUCCUGUAAAAUCUGUACAUUUCUGAGGGUGUUCUCCCACCUGCCCAACCAUGUUUUCUUCUCCACAUCAGUUGACAUUUAUCUAAGAGGGAGUAAAGAAGCCCAUCUUUUUUAUUUUUAUUUAUUUAUUUAUUUUUGUAGCCCAUCCUUUUCUCUUGCAAUCUUUAGGACAAGGAAUUAGUUAUUAACUUUUCAAAAAAAAUUUUUAUUUUAAUAUCGUCACUGUGUCUCUGACUUUGAUGCCAUUAAAUGUUUAUUUUAAAAUAAUAAGCUACAUGAUGACUCUUCUUUUUUAUUAUUAUUUUUAUUUAUUUAUUUAUUUUGAGACAGUAUCUCGCUCUGUUGCCCAGGUUGGAGUGCAGUGGUGCGAUCUCGGCUCACUGCAAGCUCUGCCUCCCGGGUUCACGACAUUCUUCUGCCUCAGCCUCCCGAGUAGCUGGGACUACAGGCGCCCGCCACCACGCCCGGCUAAUCCAUUUCUGAAGUGAGUGAUUUGGAUAUAUAAAGAUGUGUCACAUAAGAAGAAGUAAAGGGGAAGACUAAUUAAUUGGACUUCAAAAUAUGAUUCUACCACGUACACAAUGCUUUUAAUUCCUUGGUGUUCUUGACCUCUGCUCUCAGUAUAUUUUAUAUUUCCAGCUCUUUUGUCACCACUCUAUAAUUCCUUACAUGGCCUUCGGUGUAUGUCAUCCAUUUUUUUUUCCAUUCCAUUUUUGUUGUAUAAUGAAUACAACUGCAAAAUGACUGAGAAGUUUUAUUUGUUUUAUCCAGGACCACAAAUUCUUCCCAACUCACUGCCAGC